rnacentral:tRNA from 1 species
GCGGGUGUAGCUUAGCCUGGUUAUAGCGCCAGACUCAUAAUCUGGAUGUCGGGAUUUCAAAUCUCCCCACCCGCA